AAACCAUGCAUCGACCAUUUUCCAAUUACUUCCUUGAAACGCUCCCAUGCUUCAUAUAAUUUCUCAUCUUUAGAUUGCCUAAACAAUGUAAUGUCGUUCCUAAGCUU
rfam:Gossypium hirsutum cultivar TM-1 chromosome 25, whole genome shotgun sequence